UUUAAAAUUUUUCAAAUUUUAAAAAAUUUGGAACGAUACAGAAAAGAUUACAACCAUCCCUGCACAAGGAUGACGCACAAAUUGAGAAGUAAUCCAAACGAAAUUU